rnacentral:rRNA from 1 species
UACGAGGGGGGCAAGCGUUGUUCGGAAUUAUUGGGCGUAAAGGGUGCGUAGGCGGUUUGAUAAGUCUGGUGUGAAAUCUAUGGGCUCAACCCAUAGUCUGCAUUAGAAACUGUCGGGCUUGAGUAUGGGAGAGGUGAGUGGAAUUUCCGGUGUAGCGGUGAAAUGCGUAGAUAUCGGAAGGAACACCUGUGGCGAAAGCGGCUCACUGGACCAUAACUGACGCUGAGGCGCGAAAGCUAGGGGAGCAAACAGG